rfam:Oryza sativa (indica cultivar-group) chromosome 1, whole genome shotgun sequence.
AAUAAACCAUGUUUUCCAUGCUCAACAUUUGACCGUCCGUCUUAUUUAAAAAAAUUAUAAAAAAAUUUAAAAAAAUAAGUCACGCAUAAAAUAUUAAUCAUGUUUUAUCUUCUAACAACAAUAAAAAUACGAAUUAUAAAAAAAUUUCAUAUAAGACGAACAGUCAAAAUUGAACACGGAAACUUAAGGUUUGCCUUUUU